ensembl:lncRNA
ACGAAUUUAUUGAAAGUCUGUGUGUCCACCACAGUCCAGGGUAUUGUGGAAUAUUCAGGGGAAAUACAAAUCCAAGAAUUAUCUCAGGAAUCAGCAUCAGAACAUAAUCCCCCAAGAGAAACUAUUCAUGGAAAGCAGUAGACUGAUAAUAACAUUUGAAAAACUGAUUUCCUAUAGAAUCAAUAGUUACUGUUUGACGAAUUAUACAAUGUAGACCUAGGUCGUGCGAUAGCUACAAAAUGCCUAAGGAAAUGGACUAGGUCGUAACAAGAAAAAGUGCUCUCAAGCCUCGGGAGAAGGGAGCAUUCUCGGCGCGGAGGGCGGAGCCUUUUCUCGAGUGGCGGCGGAUGACCCGGGCUCCUGCCCCUCAUCUCGGCGUGGGGCGCAGGCGGCGGCCGCAAGGACCGUGGAUGCUUGAAUAGCGCUUCUUGCCGGCGGGGACGGCCCCGGACAAGCACACCCGCCCGACCUCCGCCCUGUCGCAGUUCCGGGGCGUUCUGCGCUGUCGUGGUUGCUAGGUGCGCGCUCCGCCCUGGGACAGCCGCGCACCUCCAGCGGAGGGCGUUAGCACCCCAAGACGCUGCUGCAGGGGUUUGAACCGGUCCUUGGCCUGCUAGCACCGGGUCCUGGACGAAAUCUAUCGCGGUCCACCUGAGCUUCAUCUUGUGCCGUGGCACCCAUGCCUAGGUCUUGACACUUCACUCCUAUGCCCGUUAUUGCCAAGGGUCGGGAUGGCCUUCGUGUCCUCUGCAGACUUCGCCUUCCUUCUGCUGCCAACAGCUGUAGAUUUUACCUCUUUCCCCUAACUUCCUCUCAGGCUCCUACUCCAUUCCUAUCGCGACUGCUUGAGACCGGGCCACCUCCCCUGCAAAUUACCUACACCAGUGUCAAAAUCAGGUCAGGGCAAAUCCAUGCCAGAACGCAGUGACCUAACUUAAAUGCGACUCUGAUUGAGUUCUUCCUAGUUUAGAACUUUUGGUGGCUCCUGAUGGUCAAAGGGACCGAGGUCAACCUCCUCUGCCCCUUUCUAGGCACCUCAAGAUCCGAUCCCUUUAUUUUCCCCAGUCUUGACCCUUCUCUCCUGCUCCAGGGGAACGAAACACACUCCCACCUCUGGGAUAUUACUCAUCCCCAUUGCCUCACCAGUUUCUCUGUUUGAUGUUUUCACACAAUAAAAUAAAAUUAUCCAGUUUCUCUGGAUAAUUUACUUGCCUGUAAGUUGAAAACUCAUAACAGCAUAUCCUGCAGGACUGCCACCUCGGUUCAAUUAGAUGACCCUUUUGUAUCUUACAGCAGUUGCAUGUUUCUCUCCAAUGUAGUCAAGAUCACUACUCUAGCUAUUUAGUUGCCUAUUUAUCUCACUUCAUUCCCAGUAAUUUAUUAUCUGAGUACUCUGUACCAGGCACUGGGUUAAGUAGAAGUUAUGAAUACUGUACUUACAACUACCAUGUGAAGUAGCUUCUGUUACCCUCAUCAUUUACAAGUGGGCAUGUAGAGGUUAAGAGAGUUUAAUCUAUCAAUCUACAUGGCCAGGAUGCAGAGAACUCAGACAGGCAUCCUUGUUGUUGUUGGUUUUUAAUAAACCUCCAGGUGAUUCUGAUGUGCAUCCAGGAUUGAGAACCACUGCUCCAGCCUAUGAGCUCCUUCGUGACAAAGGGCCAUGUAUUUUGUCUCUGUAUCUAGUACAGUGACUGGGACAUAGCAGGUGUUCACUAAGUGUGAAAUACAUGGGAGUUUUGUCUUGUUUGGUUUUUUGAUCCUCUCCACCACUCUAGAGGGCAGGUCAUACAGGAAUCAUACUUGCCUUUUUUAGAUAUGCAAAGAGAUCCAGAAAAUUGACUUGGCAAUUCAUAAAUGGCAAUGCCAUGAUUGAAGACCAGGGACAUGUGACUCCUCUCAUGCUUUUUUCACUAUUGUAGUUUUUUCUGGGACAACUUCCCAGAAGAGGAUUUCCUUUUUAUUUUUUCCUGGAAAAGUUUGGUGAUAAGAGAUUCAUUUUUACAUCUGAUCAGAUUUAGACCCUCUAUAGUGCCAGAAUAGAGAGCAAAGAGGCACAAGAGUAGGUUCUGCUGACAAAAGAAAGUGGAAGGGGUAGCAAACCCACUUCACAACAUCAUUAUUUUGAUGUAUAGCAUCAAAAAAAUUGCUUGAGUUUCUGUAGCAAUUACUAUAUAAGUACAAUAAUGUAUCCUGAAGUCAUUCCAGGCCAUCUGGAAUAUUAUUCCCCGUGGUACCAAGCCACCAGCUGAAGAGUUUUAAGUAACAUGAUCAGAAUUGGAUUUGCUGUAUAAACACAUAAAUGUGUAUACACACAUACACACCACCACCACCAGCAACAGUGCAGGGAGUGAGUUGCAGUGAUACAAAGGAACUACAGGAAAUGUUGUCAAUAACAGGUUUGUUCCUAAUAGCAAAAGGUGGAAACAACAACCAUGUCUUCUGGCAACAGAAUGGUUAGAUUGUGAUGUUUUCACACAAUAGAUAUUACAUAGCAAUAAAAACGAAUCAAUUUUACCUUAUGUAAAAACGUGAAUGAAUCUUGGAAAUAUUACAAAAUUAUUGUCGUAUGAAAGACAAAGAAUAUGCCACCAGAAAUGUGGAAGAAAAUAUAUUAGCACCCAGGCUCUUGAUUUGUUGAAGAGAAAUGUACUAUCCAUGUUUACACUUAUAUACAAUAUCUGCAAUUUAUUAAAUUUAUUACAUAAAUAUUUGAAUGUUUAUAAUUCAUAAGGGAUCUAUAAGCAUAUAUAUGUGGGUAUGUAUGUGUGUCUGUGUCAUGGUCUAAAAUGGACUGCAAAAUCAUGAUUGAUUCCACAAAAGUACAAGUCAAGGCCGGGCAUGGUGGCUCAUGCCUGUAAUCCCAGUACUUUGGGAGGCCAAGGCAGGCAGAUCAUGAGGUCAGGAGAUGGAGACCAUCCUGGCUAACAUGAUGAAACCCUAUCUCUACUAAAAAUAAAAAAAAAAAA